UAUUGGACAAUGGGCGAAAUCCUGGUCCACCCAUGCCGCUUUUGUGAAUAAGGUCUUCGGCUUUUAUAGCUCUUUAUGUUUGGAGGAAGGGCAGUUUGUUAAUAGCUUUCUGUGUUGUCGUUUCUGACUAAAUAAGCACCGGCUAACUUCGUUCUAGCAGCCGCGGUAAUACUAAGGGUGCAAGCGUUAAUCGGAAUUACUGGGCGUAAAGCGCGCGUAGGUGGAUUGUUAAGUUGGAAGUGAAAGACCCGGGAUCAAACUGGGAACUGCUUUCAAAACUAGCAAGCUAGAGUAUGGCAGAGGGUGGUGGAAUUUCCUGUGUAGCGGUGAAAUGAGUAGAUAUAGGAAGGAACACCAGUGGAGAAGGCGACCACCUGGGCUAAUACUGACACUGAGGUGCGAAAGCGUGGGGAGCAAAC
rnacentral:rRNA from 1 species